rnacentral:rRNA from 1 species
AUUGAACGCUGGCGGCAUGCCUUACACAUGCAAGUCGAACGGCAGCACGGGGGCAACCCUGGUGGCGAGUGGCGAACGGGUGAGUAAUGCAUCGGAACGUGCCCAGUAGUGGGGGAUAACCAGUCGAAAGACUGGCUAAUACCGCAUACGACCCAAGGGUGAAAGCGGGGGACCGUAAGGCCUCGCGCUAUUGGCGCGGCCGAUGUCUGAUUAGCUAGUUGGCGGGGUAAGAGCCCACCAAGGCGACGAUCAGUAGCUGGUCUGAGAGGACGACCAGCCACACUGGGACUGGGACACGGCCCAGACUCCUACGGGAGGCAGCAGUGGGGAAUUUUGGACAAUGGGCGCAAGCCUGAUCCAGCCAUGCCGCGUGCGGGAAGAAGGCCUUCGGGUUGUAAACCGCUUUUGGCAGGAACGAAACGGCGCAGGCCAAUACCUUGCGCUAAUGACGGUACCUGCAGAAUAAGCACCGGCUAACUACGUGCCAGCCGCCGCGGUAACAC